rnacentral:rRNA from 1 species
UACAGGGGGGGCAAGCGUUGUUCGGAAUUACUGGGCGUAAAGGGCCAGUAGGCGGCCAACUAAGUCCGACGUGAAAUCCCCAGGCUUAACCUGGGAACUGCGUCGGAUACUGGAUGGCUUGAAUUCGGGAGAGGGAUGCAGAAUUCCAGGUGUAGCGGUGAAAUGCGUAGAUAUCUGGAGGAACACCGGUGGCGAAGGCGGCAUCCUGGACCGGUAUUGACACUGAGGCGCGAAAGCCAGGGGAGCAAACGGG